GCAGUACCGAGCAAUACCGAGUUACAAUAUCGAGCAAUACCGAGCGGUACCGAGCAAUACCGAGAGGUACCGAGCAAUACCAAGUUACAAUACCGAGCAAUACCGAGCGGUACCGUGCAAUACUGAGUUCCAACACCGCUCGGUACUGAGUAGUACCGAACAAUACCGAGUUACAGUACCGAGCAGUACCGAGUUCCAAUACCAAGCGGUACCGAGUUCCAGUACCGCUCGGUAUCGAGCAGGACUGAGCAAUACUGAGUUCCAGUACCGUUCGGUACCAAGCAGUACCGAGUUUCGAUACCAAGCCUAUGAUUAAGAAAACGAAGAACGACGAAGAAAAUGAACCUUCACUGCUCACGUCGCCUUCACUGUUCACGUUGUCGAGCCGCUCCGUCGACGAAGGAUGAUCCUAUUGACUUUAAUGCUCGCGUCUUCAAGCCUCUUUGUCGAUAAAGGAUGAUCCUGCUUGCUUCUAUGCUCGCGUCAUCGAGCCGCUCCUUCAACUAUCACGAAGAAGAUGAACACUUGUGUGGAAACGAAAAACCUAGCUCUUUGAAAUGUUUCAGCCGCAUAAAUGAAUAUGACUAUUGAGCGGAAACGGUGGAAAGCCGAAAAGAAUAGGGUAAAUUGCGGCUAUGUGUUUUUUUUUAAUAGGACACGCAUAUCCGAUACGCAUGUCUAGUCAAAUUUAAAUAAUAUUUUAAUUGGACAUGGCAAAGCCGUAUCCGACACGUAUCCGUGCCGUAUCGGAGGCGUAUUCGUAUCCGACACGUGUCCGAUACAGCACGCCUAGUAAAUAGGAGUAUCCGUGCAACAUAAAUUAUGUUUCUUUUUAAUGGCCAAUAUUUUGCACCAUAAAGCAUUGUUGGUCUCACCACCAUCUUAUAGAAUUUUCCCUUUAGUUUGAGGAACCUUCCAACUUUAAUUCUGCUAAUAAUAUCCACAUCUAUUUCAUUAUCAUUCUGAAUAAUAGGCCUAAGAUAUCUAUCGCUCUGAAUAUUCCAGGACUCAACAAAAGGAUUUACUAAAUCCCACUUGAAUCCAAACAACACCUUGAUUGGUUGAUUUUAAUGAUUGGGAAGUCUCUGGAAAUUCACGAAGAUCUUCCCCCACACUAUGUAAGAGUGGGAUUGCUUCGUGAUGCUACUUUUCUAUUCUCUUGCAAUGGCACGGAGCAGCUUGGAAGGCCCAUGCGUAUUGUGGGGCAACCGCUGCUUGUCUGUGUGUUGGUGUGAGGAAUAAAUAAAUGGAUCUUACUGAUGGAAAGAAGAAUACGAGUCUUUGCCUCUAUGACCACUUGUUGUUCGUUAUGAUUGAUUGGUUUAGCAGUUCACUAUGAGCAGCAUCUCAUAGAUAUGGCAUUUAUGUUUGUAUUCAAGUUCUCAAAAGAGGGAAAAAAAAAGAAAAAAGAAAUGUUUGUUAUGAACGUAGUAAGGUUUGUUGAUUGAUAUAAAAAUUAGGUUGUUUUGAAUGCUAUGUAUGUAAAUCUAUUGAUGACACAAGUUGAUGGAGGCCAAAAGACUUACCUAGUAAUGCUUCACUCCCAAGAAAAACUCAGAUAGCUUAAGCAUGAUUUAUUGCUUACUGCGUCCUAUUGAUAACCUUGCAACUGUUCUGUCUGUGUGCAGUUUUUGAAGAAUCCGUUGGUGGAUUUGCUUUGUUAUGCAACAGUCGUUUGGGUUGCUGGGUAAGCCUACAGCAAGUGUAGUUACCAAGAUGAUGAUCUUGCCCACCUAGAGUAGAACAGGAUUCCUUUCUAUGGUGCUUCAGGAAUAUCCUCUAUUCUUAUUCAUUGACGAUGGAGUUGCUUGGAUGGCCCGUACAUGCAUGGGCAACCGCUCCAUCCAUGCGUUACUCGCACAGAACUAGCUGGCUGAGGGCUGAUCUGCGAAAUGAUUGAACAAAGGGGAAUCUGAGCCCGUUUAAUUUACUCAAUUUUCUAUGGAACAUGCUUUGAAGCAAGCAAAUGAGCCCAUAAGAACAUGCAUCACAGAUCAAGGUGAGCUUCGUAUGAACCUAUAUUCUGGUAUCAUAAGAUAACGCAGGCCCAAGCUGCUCUAAUGUUUUUUACGAAGUCCUAAGAAUAAUGUUCCAAACGAAGCCUAAAUAUGAGCGGAUGGAGUGGCUCGUCUCUUCUGUCUGCCAUCUCCGAUGCUGAUGAUUUUUUAUGCCUAAAGCUAUGAUCAUGCACGCUCUCUCUCUAUAAUUGGGCGAUGAUGAUGAAAUCCAACAUGAAGAGCUAUCUUACCCUGAUUAGGAAUGUUUCCAAGGUGCUUCAGAUAUCGCAAUGCUUCUCUUGCGGUGGUGCUGGUGCCGCUUGGAUGGCCCGCUAAUCUAUGGAAACCGCCGCGUCUGUGCGUCGUUGUUAUAAAACAGGUGCUUGAGGACGGAAACAAGGCUAAUCUGAGCCCCCAAUUUUCACUUUCUUUACCCACCUUUUCUGAAACAGAUUUUCCCGUUCUCUGCAGAAAUACAUUAAGUGAUGAAGCGAUGCUUCACCCCAAAAUAAAUCUCAUCUCUAAGUCGGUACUUUUAGGGGCUCUUUGGUAUCGGAUUGGAUUUAACUUGAGUAAGAUUUAGUCAAUUCUGUAAAAUCCUGAGGGUGAAUUCAUAUAUAUUUAUAUAUUUAAGACCAUUUUUUUUUGUCAGCCGUCAAGUGGUCUGUAUGCCGGUAUCACGAGAUGAUGCAGCCCCAAACUGCAAUGCUCUUUGUAAGUAUGAGUAAAUGCUUCGCUCUCUGCAGAAAACUCAUUUUUUAAGUAUAAUCGCUUUCUCCUGUGUUUCUGUUGAUAACCUGGCAACGGCCGUGCCCGUGCGUAGCUGUGGAUAAUUGGUUGGUGGAUCUGCUUUGUUAUACAGUAAAGAAGAAGACUGCUUUGAAAAGAAUAGUCAGGGCAGUGGCGGAGGAGGAAGCACUAGCUUUGGAAGCAGAGCCUACGCCGAAAGUGCAGCGGACACUCUCCACAGAGCAAGCCAUUAAUGUUCCAGCUUCCCCCCGGAUUUGCUCACAAUGUUCUUCAAGGUACUCUCUAACUUCGCUCCCAAAUUAUUACAUAUAUGUGAUUUUCUUUUCUUUGAUCGUGUAUUUUGGUUUCUAUGAUUAUUUAUUUUGUAUGCUGGUUCUGCAAAUGCUGAGGGAACUAUGGACGACACUGCAAUACCAAAACUCUGCAAUGCUUUAGAGGGGAAAGAAGGUGUCGGUGAUUUGAAGGUGCAAAACCUAGAGGGCAUUGCAAGCGUUGAGAAUCUUGCUAAUAGAUCUAUUGUUGAUGACGUGCUGGGCAAAGUCAAUGGAUUGAAGCCUAUUGGUGUUACAUUAGCUCAACUAGCUAUUGCUUGGUGUGCUUCAAAUCCGAAUGUUUCAUCUGUAAUUACUUGUGCAACAAAGGAGAGCCAGGUAACUUCUUUAUAUCAUUUCAUAAAACACGUGAAAACAAUAUUUAAUCUUGUAAUAGUUCAAUUUCAUUUUUAAUGCAUGUUCUUGUCAAAAACACCCUAGCUAUUUAAGAGGUAAAAAUGCUUGCGCCAUAUUAUGUUUUA